GAAACCUUGGUAUAUUAGUUUCAAUGGCUGCUGUAACAACACAAACUUAGCAGCUUGAAAAAGAACGCAUAUUUAUUAUGUCAAAGUUCUGGAGAUCAGAAGUAUGAGUUGGCUUUGCUGGGUUCUCUGCUCUGGGUUUCCUAAGGCAGAAAUCAAGGUGUCGGCCGGUGGGCUCUUGUUGGGAGGCUCUGGGAAGAAUCCACUUCCAAACUCAUUCAGAGUUUUGGAAAAUCCAGUUCCUUGCAGCUGUAGGACCGAGGGUUUGUUUCCUUGCUGGCUGUCAUCUGGGGCUGCUGAUAGCUCCUAGAGGCCGCUCUCAGGUCCUUGUACGCAACCCUACAUCUCAAAGUCAGCAACGGUGUGUUGAAUCCUUCUCAUGCUUGGAAUCUCUCUGAUUGCCUCUUCUGCCAUAUCUCUCUGACUUCAGCCCGAGAAAGUUCUCUGUUUCUAAGGAUUCAUGUGACCAGAUUGGGCCUACCUGGAUAAUCUAGGAUCCUCUCUCUAUCUUAAGAUUCAUAACCUUAAUUAUACUUGCGACGUCCCCUUUGCAUAUUCGCAAGUUCUAGGGGUUAGGAUGUAGACACCUUUGAGGUAUCAUUAUUUUGCUUUUUACAGUUGGCUUAUGUCUAAAUUGGGUUCCCUAGAAACAGACCCUGGUUUGAGAAUUUGAAUGAAAGUAAUUAGAAAGUGUUUCCAGGAAAAACCUGGAGAGGCGAAGGGGAAGUGGGAUCAAGAAGAGAAAAAGGCCAAGUAACAUGUGAUUGUCAGACAAAGUCCCACAGAGGGAACUUUGGCUCAACCUUGCAGGGUGUUCUGGAGACAGGUUAGGCACACAUCAGGGACAAGGAAAGUGGCAUAUUUGUACCCCACAUCCAUCAAUCAUUGGUCAACGGCUGACCCUGGGAGGGGAACAUAAAUUCCCAGGCAUGUCUAGCUCUUCAUGUGCACAGGCCAAGAAGACUCUCACAUAGGUGCAGGUGCUAGCUAUGGGGAGGGAAAGCAAUGAGGAGUCAGUGUGACCAAAAAUGGUAACAGGAUCAAGGGGAUAGAGGUGCAGCACACUAAGAGAGGCAGCUACAAUUUUUCUGCAAAGGAUUUCCAGCAGGAGGUGACAAGAUCCAAUGCUCUGGAGAUCAACCCUGGAAGAAUUAUUCCUGGAGAAAGGAACACGAAGGGAACCAGGUAGCCAUAAGGCCCCAGAAUCAUGCAGAAAAGUAAACCAUUAGCUACUAGCCAUUGGAGGCAGGAGUUAAGCUCCAUAGAAGCAACAGAGAAGGCUGAAUUGCCUAGAGUUGCUGGGGUCCGCACUGGUGAGUUUUGAGCACACUUAGCAGACAGACUCCUUGACAUGAAUCCUAGUUCUUAUCUUUGUACAUGUGGAUCCUUCAGUCAGAAAUGUUCUCAUUCUCUCUUUACCCAAAUCCUACAUAUUUGAAAUGCCUCCUCCCUCAUGAAGCAAAUCCUGGUUCCCCCACCUCUGGAUGCCCCAGGACCUUGCCAAAAUCUCUUCUGUGAAACAUAUGACUUUGUGUUUUGCAUUAUGCUAUUUACGUCCAUGUCUUAUCUACCCAGCUAGACUGAUCAUCUAGAGACCUGGGGCUGUGCUGUGUCAGCUCUAUGCCCAGAGGCUGGCACAAUGCCUCAAAUGCUAUGGUCCUUGGUAAGCACUGGCUGAAAGUCAUGUAAGUGAAGGCUUCCUGCUCCCAAUCAGCACUUACACACAGUUGACUUGGGAAGAUGUGGGCCCCCUCCAGAGCUCAGGCCACCCGCAGUGCCAUUUGGCAUGCACUCAGUUCUUUUCUUCCACUAUCCAUGCCCAUUGUGCCCAUCGACAGUCCAUUUCCUGGCAUCAAAGCUGACUGUAGCAAUUCUUGCUUCCUGGAAUUACUCACCAGUCUGAAUUUUCUGCCCUGACCAGGUAGAUUUCAUCAACUACAUUUCUACAUUUCCAGCCAUUUUGGUUUCCAGAAAGUAAACCAAGGACAGAGCAGAGAAGUACUUCAUCUCCCUGACAUUCUCAUCUGCAAUCUGGGAGAGGCAGCCCUCAGUUAUUGUUGACUAUUAUUGACAGAGUGAGUUGAGGAAGAGCCACAAGACCUCAAAUUCCAGGCUUUCCUUCAUUUGCCUCCUUCUCAGCUUCCCCAGGCUGUGAGGAUGGGGCGCCAGCCCUCUGGCCAGCACAGGUUCAGAGGUUUUCAUCCGGCUCCCCUGGCCUUCGCUAUCUUGUUGCUGGGGCUGCUCUCUGAGGAGUGAGCAUUCCACUGAACAGGAGAAUCAAGGCUGUUCCACUGAGCAUGAGGCCAAAUUGAGCCAAACUGGGCCAGGCUUUGGAGUCCACAUGCUUCUGCCUGAGCCCUGCCUCUGCUCCUUACCACCUUGGUAACUCUGGGAAAAUUACUUAGCCUCUCUAAGUCUGUGAAAAAGACGCUCAGCUGCCAAAAGGGAGUUCUCAAGGGUUUCUGUCUCAGAGGGGAAUGUUAGGCUCAACUGACAUAACUGAUAUGCAAAUGUGUUGAAAGCUGUUGGGUGCUGCACAUGUUAAGAAAAUUAUUCCAGUCUCAAGUUCAAAGUGAAAGGGCUCUAAGUCAUUUCCUGCAUCCUUGGAUCUGGAUGGUGGGAGAUGGGGAGGUGGAGGAGAGACUUAUCCAAAUAGAUAAGGUUCCUCUUGUUUAACAUGGCUGAGUCACACACUCACUCAUCCAUGUACGGUCAUUGAUUCAUUCGUUCAGUCUACAACUAUUGAGUCCUUGCUACAUGCCAGACACUUUUCUAGGUUCUGGGGGCAAAUAUGAAGAUAGGGAGACUCCAAUGGAUGGAAUUUCUAUAAUUCAAGCAAGAGAUGAUGAUGUCCAGAGAUAAUGACAGCGCACAAAGGAAUGAAGACUGAAGAAAAGUACACAGAGUUAAUUGAUAUACGGGAAGUUGAAGGAACAGGAUAAGGUUUUUUGGAUAAGGGAAGAAGAAUCUGGCAAGAGAAAAGAUAGAGUCAAGCACAAAUCCCAUUUUCUGGCUUGAGCCAAGAGGUAGAUAAUGGUGCCAAACACAGAGUUGGGGACCUUGGAAGAGGAGCAGUUUGAGCAGGAAACAUGGGGAUAACACAAUCAAGUCUGCAUUUUCAAGAGAUUACCCUGGGAACAUUGUGGAAACCGGAUUGAAGAAAGAAACUGGUUAGAGCUUUUGUGUGAGAGCAUCAGUACAUUUCCUGAUGAUUUCUUCACUUGCUGUAGAGAUCCAAGACUGGAAGAGAACCAGGCUUGUAGUCUAUUCGAUCAUUAACCCUUGCUAAGUCUUUGUGCACCUACAUUUUACAGAUUUCAGCGUAAAAGGAAUUUCACCAUAGCCUUACUUUCCUCAGUAUAUUCUGCAAGGAUGCAAUAAGAAAAAGUCUUCAAACUCCAAUGUGUCUUUUGCGCUUAACCAUAUCUCAAUUUGGACUAGUUACAUUUCAAAUGCUCAAUAGCCACAUGUGGCUACCAUAUUGGACAGUACAGUUCUCGACUGUGUUGUCUUAAUCAUCUCAUGAAAGUAAUUAAGUGGUAAGUGAUUGAGUAAGUAGACCAAAAUUCUACUACUUUUGAUAAUAGACUGGACCACACUUCCUGGUAUUGCAGACAUAACUGAAGGUUACACAUAUUUCCUUCGAAGCAGUAACAGUUUUGAGAAUUUUCGUUAAUGUGACUGGAAAAUGCUACAUCUCAUUUCCUAAUUAAAGCAGACUUUUGGACAAUAGGUUGGAAAUUGCCCCUCACUCUUCCACCGCGAAGAGACCACUCCAUGUAUAUUUGAGGAAAUAAACAUGCAGCUGGGAGGACAAGUCAGGAGGGGAUAUGUAAAUAUAAAGUAAGUGGUUAUGACCUGGUCUCCACUUGAGGGAUAUGAAGGAUUACCUACAAGUAAAAUAAUUUGGCAGAAAAGAAACUAAGCAAGUGAAAAACAAGAAUGGACCAACAGAGGGUCAACCCUCAACCCUGGGCAAUUAAUCACCUCACAUUUGUUUUGCAACUUCUCACACUUACCAACUCUCACAUAGGAGAAAGAUGGGCCAAUAUAUCAAUCAAAAGUUAGCUUCUCAAAAUGAUACCUUUUCUCCUUUUUGCAUUAUUAUGGGCUAUUAAAUAAUUCUCCUGUUUGGGAUCUUGGUUAGUUUGGUGGAUGUCUCAUACCUAAUUUCACUGUAGUUCUUCCCCAUUGAGUUCCUAAAAUGAAUAUCUUGCCCAGUUUUCCACCUGUUCACUGAUCCACCAUUUCCUUUGCUCUGGGGAAGGAAAUAUAACCAUUUGACCUCAGAGUUGAAUGUGUGGCAGAUGUGAAUUUCCAUUCUAAUAACACGCAACCAGAUCCAUGCAUUUACUGCCAGUGACUCUUUGCUCAUUGACCAUGCUCCCUUCAACCCACUGGUUCCACCACUACAGCCUGGGCAGUGGUGUGAGCAGCCACAUCAGGAGUGGAGAAGUGGCCUCCUGGAGGAAGAAGAGAAAGUAAAAAGGAAAACCAGAUGUGACAUUUCUGAUAUCAUUUCUUACAGAAAAAGAGACAGGAUGGAGCCUGGAUACCUUUUCCCUUUAGGUGGGAGGGAUUUUUAGGGUCAUGGUACAGAGGACCACCCACUAGCUUUGAAAGCACUUUUGUGGGAAUUAGAGGGGAAAAAAAUGCCCCCUCUGGGCAGAUGCAACCCCAUGAAUGGGCACAGCAUGGUGAGAAUCAUGGGCUGGAUUUCAGCCCUUACUCUCCCCUAGCCCGCCAUCAUUAUGCAGUGCACAAACUGCUGAACUGGGCGCUACAGCCCUGACGUGCACCAUUCACACACACACUCCCUGUGCCUGUGAGAGGAGGUCAGGAUCAGCAGUUGAAGGCAAGUAGGAUGCGGCUGAGCCCCUGGAUGCCUGGGCCUGCUGACCUAGGUGGCAGCCUUGAGCAGGGCCCUGCUGGGGCCUUGGAGGUUGGUGAUGAACUCUCACAUAAUGCUUUACCUUCUGCUCACGUUUCAUUUCUAUGCCUUACGGGAGACUAGGAGCCCUUGUGAGCGAGGGGACAACAGGAAGAUGGAGGGAAAGAGCUCUGGCCUUGAGGGCCAAAGAGGACCAACUGAAGGCAAGUCACUCUCCUCAACACAGGGUCUUCCCUUCCAGCUCUGAGAAUUCAUCACUCUCCAGAACCUCUGAUUCCUUAACAGCAAAAUUGCCCCACACCUAGGAUGUUAUCAGAAGACCAGGCAGCCGACAACAUUUUAUAAACUGGACUGGGCCAGCUGAUGCUCAGAAUGUCGUCUCCACCCCAGCCCAGCUGGCAACGGCCCCACCUUGAGUGGUCAACAGCAGAGCUAUGCUCACUGCUUCCCAGAGCCCACAACCAAGGACUAACUGCUGUUCAAUCUGGAUCCUUAAAGAAUCGUCAAAGAGAACUUUCCUGCCAGCUUCAUGUGCUGUUUCAGCUGUACUUUGUGCACCUAAUGCUGCUUCUCACAGAAUUACCCUCCGCUGUCCAGAGUCUCCACAGCUAUCUCAGAGAUGAAAGGCUUUGUGACCUGUGCUACCUGUUGUCAACUACCACAGCCAGAUUCCAGGACUUGCAGGAGCAGCAAGAGUGCCAGCACCAAAGAGCAGAGACUCCUGGAGGCCAUGCCAAGUGGACUCCUGAUGGGCAACACGGACACUCGAUAUGAAAGUAAAGAUCUGAUUGGCAUCCUCUUCUUGACGUGCUGUAUGUUCUGGAUAACAGUCCAGAAGCAAAACUACAAAACUGCUUUCAUUCAGAUUAACCAGUUAAAUGUAAUGGAUGAUGCUGUUUUGCUAAACUAAAACAUUGAUGUUGGUUUAAUAACAGAAAAAUGUAUUUGUGAGGUUGUUUGGACUUUUUUUCUUGUUGGCCUAUUUUAUUUUUGUUUUUGAGCAUGGUGAGUCAUUGCUGUUUUUUCAUUUAACCAUGAUCUGUUAUUCUAAUGAACGAAUCAAUAAAUUGUGCAGUCUAAAACAGUGAGAAUGUAUUUGGAAUCUUCACAGCUACUGCUAAUAAGCUGUUUUGAGUUGAUAGCACAGAAACAAGAUCU